UACGAAGGGGGCUAGCGUUGCUCGGAAUCACUGGGCGUAAAGCGCACGUAGGCGGACUCUUAAGUCGGAGGUGAAAUCCUGGAGCUCAACUCCAGAACUGCCUUCGAUACUGAGAGUCUCGAGUCCGGGAGAGGUGAGUGGAACUGCGAGUGUAGAGGUGAAAUUCGUAGAUAUUCGCAAGAACACCAGUGGCGAAGGCGGCUCACUGGCCCGGUACUGACGCUGAGGUGCGAAAGCGUGGGGAGCAAACAGG
rnacentral:rRNA from 1 species